AGCGAACGCUGGCGGCAGGCCUAACACAUGCAAGUCGAGCGCCGUAGCAAUUCGGAGCGGCAGACGGGAUAGUAACACGUGGGAACGUGCCCUUUGGUUCGGAAUAACUCAGGGAAACUUGAGCUAAUACCGGAUAAGCCCUUACGGGGAAAGAUUUAUUGCCAUUGGAGCGGCCCGCGUCGGGUUAGCUAGUUGGUGAGGUAAUGGCUCACCAAGGCGACGAUCCGUAGCUGGUCUGAGAGGAUGACCAGCAUCACUGGGACUGAGACACGGCCCAGACUCCUACGGGAGGCAGCAGUGGGGAAUAUUGGACAAUGGGCGCAAGCCUGAUCCAGCCAUGCCGCGUGGAUGAUGAAGGCCCUAGGGUUGUAAAGUCCUUUUAACGGGGAAGAUAAUGACGGUACCCGUAGAAUAAGCCCCGGCUAACUUCGUGCCAGCCGCCGCUGUAA
rnacentral:rRNA from 1 species